rnacentral:rRNA from 1 species
UACGUAGGGCGCAAGCGUUGUCCGGAAUUAUUGGGCGGAAAGAGCUCGUAGGCGGUCUGUCACGUCUGCCGUGAAAUCCCCAGGCUUAACCUGGGAACUGCAUCCGAUACUGGAUGGCUUGAAUCCGGGAGAGGGAUGCAGAAUUCCAGGUGUAGCGGUGAAAUGCGUAGAUAUCUGGAGGAAUACCGGUGGCGAAGGCGGCAUCCUGGACCGGCAUUGACGCUGAUGAGCGAAAGCUAGGGGAGCAAACGGG